CUUACUUCGUGCGCCUGGAUUCCUUCUUAAAGCUUCGAUCCCUUGUCGGCGUAGCUGUCCAAUUUCCCUUGGCCAUGGAGACGACGACCACGAUCCUCCUCGCCGCUACCGAGGUCGAGGAGGAGUUCUUUGAGGUGCUGGGUGCCCGCCACCACCAUGGUCUUUCGACAGAUGUAGUUCCAGGAUCUGCCGGCAUUAUCUUUGACGAGAAGCGGAAAUGAUUGAAAGAGCGAAAGCAAGUCGUAAAUAUCAGAGUCGAGCACUUCUUUCAAAGGAAGGAGCAAGGUUUUGACCAUCGGACAUUAUAUAACACAAGAAACACAAAGAAGAUGGAUCACUGGAACAAAAAGGACUUCUUGAAGGCACAAUUAAUCAUUGUUUUUUUUUUUUUUUUGGAUUAUCAAGGAUGAUGAUUGGAUCAUAUUUGAAUAAAUAGCAAGAACACAUCUUCACUUUGUGUA